rnacentral:rRNA from 1 species
UACAGAGGGUGCGAGCGUUGUUCGGAAUUAUUGGGCGUAAAGAGCUCGUAGGCGGUCUGUCGCGUCGGAUGUGAAAACCCAGGGCUCAACUCUGGGCCUGCAUUCGAUACGGGCAGACUAGAGUACGGCAGGGGAGACUGGAAUUCCUGGUGUAGCGGUGAAAUGCGCAGAUAUCAGGAGGAACACCGGUGGCGAAGGCGGGUCUCUGGGCCGUAACUGACGCUGAGGAGCGAAAGCGUGGGGAGCGAACAGG